rnacentral:rRNA from 1 species
CCUACGGGUGGCAGCAGUGAGGAAUAUUGGUCAAUGGGCGCGAGCCUGAACCAGCCAAGUCGCGUGAGGGAAGACGGUCCUAUGGAUUGUAAACCUCUUUUGUCGGGGAGCAAAAGACGCCACGCGUGGCGUUCCGAGAGUACCCGAAGAAAAAGCAUCGGCUAACUCCGUGCCAGCAGCCGCGGUAAUACGGAGGAUGCGAGCGUUAUCCGGAUUUAUUGGGUUUAAAGGGUGCGUAGGCGGAAUAUCAAGUCAGCGGUAAAAAUUCGGGGCUCAACCCCGUCGUGCCGUUGAAACUGAUGUUCUUGAGUGGGCGAGAAGUAUGCGGAAUGCGUGGUGUAGCGGUGAAAUGCUUAGAUAUCACGAAGAACUCCGAUUGCGAAGGCAGCCUACUAAACUGCCACUGACAUUGAUGCUCGAAAGUGUGGGUAUCAAACAGGAUUAGAUACCCCAGUAGUC